GAUUUUGGGGGGCCCAGAGCCAGAUUCUGGAGAAGAGACCUCAGGGUCCGCCUGAGUGGGGAGGCUGCUAGGUUGGGGUGGCAGGUGGGGCUUCUUGAAGCCCGGAGGGCAGGGAGCCCACCACCUCAAAAAGUUUAGGAACAGGGCUACCUUUCUGAGGUCUGGCUGUUGGAAUUGUGGGAAUACAGUUGUGCUGGGAGUUCCAGCCACCUCCCAGAAUACAGGGUGAGUAGAAGCAGGCACACCAGCGACAGGACAGGGUCAGAGGAGCUGGCAGCCACUUGUGGUCUCCUUGCGAACUGAGGUUGGAAUCAAAUGACCCAGACCCGGCCUCUCCCUAACUUCCUGGUUUGGGGGAUCUGAUCCGACAUCUCUGGACCUCAGAUUCCUCAUCUGUAAAGUGGGAACGAGAGCUGUUCGGUAGGCUCCCUCCAUCCUGCCUGACUUCCUUUUCCACUUCUCAAAGCCCCUGGAGCUUGCUCAUCAGGACUCCUUCCAAGGCCUAAUUUCUUGAGAGCAGGUGGGGUCCAGUGGGACGUAGGCUGGGGAGCAGCGCCCCCUCGUGGUAAAUAUCGGGAGGGCUCGGUUAUUCCGGGAAGACUCACGCGGGCUACCCUGCUUUUGGUGCCUGAUGGGGGCUCUGGCAAGUUAGAGCUUCCAGGGGCUGAUCCUGGGGCUCCACUCAGGGAAGCUUUUCCAUCUUGCUUCAGCUACCCCGUUGAGCAACCAGAGAGAAUUCUGCUUCCCCGCAGCAGCCUCCCGUCUGCCUUCUCACAGCCCUGCUUCUCCUCUUCUCCAGGCUUCUCUCACUUCUGUCCCGGAGGAAUCCAUUUGGCAUUUACACUGUGCUUUACGGCUUACACAGCACUUUGACACAUAUUAACUCGUCCCUGAGGUGUGCUGUUUCUGGGUGGUGACGGCCCUAGAUGGAUAGAGGAUCCUGGUUUGGGGCGUGGCUCCAGCACCAGAGGGCUGGUUUGGAUCCUGCCUCCUCCAUCCAGCUGUGUAACCAGGGCGACGCUCAAAACAUUGAAUAACCAGUAGGACAGGCAGCGACCAAUCAGAACAGGCCCUGCCCUAAACACCAGGUACAGCCAAAUAUGUGUACCUGCUGAAGAUUCUGGAACAGUCUCAGCCUCACGGGGCCUAGGUUUCUCUAUCUGCAGUAAGGACACGGUGAUCCCACUUUAUAGGACUGUUGUGGAGACUGAAUUAGUUACUGCAUGUAAAAGAUGGAGAAACCAGCGUCUGGCACAUAGAAAGCACCCACUAAGAGCUUUAUUACUGGUCCCAUCUCUUCUCAGACUCUGUGACUCAGGGUGAGCGCCACUCUUUAAGGGAUAACAACUCCCCUCCCCGCAGUGAGCCCUCUAUAUGCAUCUGGGCAUGCCCCCAGCUCACUUCCCACUUACCACACUUCCUCUAUAGUUAUUCUACUCACCAGAAGUGCUUCUCAAGCUUUCCCACAUAUCCGAAUUUCUGGGAGACCUUAUUACGCUGCAGAUUCUGAUUGAGAAGGUCUGUGUGGGGCCUGGGAUUCUAUAUUUCCUACAAGCUCCCAAGUGGUGCUGAUGCUGGUCUGAGAAGCAAGACUCCCAGAGAUCACUGCAGAAAAAGAAAUGUCAGCAGUUUGUAAGCCAUAAAUGUUCACUGAGCACUUACUCAGUGCAAGGCUUCCCUGGUGGCUCAGAUGGUAAAGAAUCUGACUGCAGUGCAGGAGACCUGGGUUCGAUCCCUGGGUAGGGAAGAUCCCCUGGGUCAGGGAGAAGAGCAACCCACUCCAGUAUUCUUGCCUGGAGAACUCCAUGGACAGAGGAGCCUAGCAGGCUACAGUCCAUGGGGUCUCAAAGAGUUGGACACGACUGAGCGACUAACACACACAGUCAGUGCAAGACUGUGCAAGGAUACAAACAGUCCAAGGGCUGGGCUCCAACCUCAAGUGGCAGGCUAGUUAUCUUGCACAAAUGGAGGUUAAAACCUAGUAAUUGGGCCAAAGGGCUAACAUGUGCCAAAGGGUGUGCAUGUGGUGAAUCCAUUCUCUGCCCUGUAGCCAGAGUGAUGCCUUGAACAGGUGAUGCUCUUGGCUUUGGCCAAGAUAUUUUACUUUCUUCAGUUCAGGUGAUCCCCAGAGAGGGCUGACAGCUGAGGGUCCUUGUCUGAAGCCUGUACUCCCAGCUCUGGGGUACCCUAAGUCCUUCAGGCCUGCAGGAGACUGGAUGGUGUAGCACAACGCCCCCAAGGGGGUAUGCACUCUGGCAGGAGGACAGGAAUCAGCGAAGCUGGUGGAGAGGGCGGGCUGUGCAGGGAGUCCAGCAGAGGAGUUUGCCGGGCCUGAUCCCAGGGUGGAGAUGAACCAGAUGGGCUGAGGCAGAAGUUCUCUCCCUUGGUUCCCUGAGGACAGAGUGGGAUGAAUCAUGGGUGGGAUGUAGACCACAGGCACAACCUCGGCUUUUGUUCUUCUGUAUUGUUGUAUUAAUCAGUGUCAACUUAUCAUCCAUCAGUCGCUACACUUCAGAUUUCAUCACCUUAGGUAAAUAACCCUCAUAUUUUUCCAAGAGCAAGUGUUGUUCAGCUUGAAAUAGGGAAUCAGACAGUCAGCAUUUGCAGGAAUGCGCAUUUCUAGAAGUGCUCUGUGGUUUGGGUCCUUUGCUAAGAAAGCACCAGGUCCACCCCUCCGCCCGCACAUGUGAUAUCUUGUGAGCCUCUUUGAGGCCACCCUAGAUGUCCACAUUGUGUUGACUGGAUGGUGUGGACAGUGAUCCAGGAAGUAGCCGGCAGCAGCAUGGGGAGAGGCCAGCAGAGGGACCUGAGAGAAGGAAGAGGCAGGCUGUGCCCAGGAAGGAGGCUUGCUUGGUGUUGGGGACACAGCAGCUCGGUUGGCCUCAUGAGGCUGUACCCUGUACAGUCCCACGGGGUUCCAGGCUUGGCUUAAUGCUUCGCCGUCCCUGUCUUGAUGUCCUUUUUUUUAAUUUUCAUUUUUGUUUUUGUUGUUGUUGUCUUGACAUUCUCGAUACUUUUUGAAGAAGGGGCCUUGUAUUUUCGCUUCACUUGGGCCCCAUACAUUAUGUAGCUUGUUCUGCUUGCCAGCUCUGGUUCCUGGGCCCAGGGCCCAUUCUGCAGGGCCCGUCUGGGAGUGACUCGAGAACACGGGCUGGGGGAGGUGGGCCUGGGGCGGGGGAUCCUUGAACAGGUCUUUGUGUGAAUCUGGGAUCAUGGAGCUUGCUCCACCCAGAGGGGAGGAGAGGAUGAAGGCUGCAGGCUUUUCUCAGUUGAGAACAAGGCCCAGGAAGCCAGCCCCCGAGGCUGGUCUUUCAGAGAUGCCAGGUGCCUAUGCUGUCUUCCGAGCCCCCAUCAGUGAGCCUAAGAGACAGGAGGGCCACAGGGAUGGAGUAGAGGCCCCGCUUGGGUGGGACCGGCAGAGCGUGCCCUGGCUCCUGGGUCAACAGUUGGCCAGGAUGUGGGUGCCCUCUGGCCUGGGUUCAGAUAUCUGUGUCCCGGAGUCCAGCCUGGUCUGGCCCACUGCACAGCUCCUUGGAGACAGACUGUGAGAGGCUUGGGUGUUACUCUGUUUUGACAGGUGGCAUAUGGAGGAAGGAGCCUGACAGACCUGUACAGACUGUGUCACUUAAGUCCUGAGACCCAGUUAGGGGCUGAGUCCUGAGGGGACCCACUCCCCCCUCCCUUCUCCACCCCUCACCCUCGCCUUCCUGGGCCUGGGCCAGCUUUCAGGCCCAAAUUUAGGUCAUGGCUUUGUCUUUGCACACCUGAUGCUCUUUCUGCUCCUGUGGUGUCUUGUCCCUCCCCUUCUUCCACUCCAGGUUGGAACGAUAUCCUCUCUCAGGGGAACAUCCGCCGUCCCAUGGGAAGGGCGUGAAGAGCUCCCACUGUGUGCCAGCGAGGGUGACUGAGGCCUGGGCUGCUCCAAACAGGAGUGCGUUACUUCAAGGAGUUCACCCAACUGAACAUUUAUAAGUAGGACAAAGCCUGGCGGUCUCGGGGCCCCUCGAGUGGGGAGAAAAUCUGGGCGCCAGGGAGCAGAGUGGGGGCGUCCAGCUUUGGGCGCAGACCCCGCCCCGCCUGGGUCGCCGGUCUCGGAGAGCUGAAAAGGGCCUCUGUGUUCCGUCUCCCGCCUGCCCGCGGGCCAGGAGCGCAUUUCCGCAGCUGGGCCAGACCCCGGAGGCUCCGCAGACCCUCGGGGGACAGACGCAAAUAGUUCCCGGCCCAGCUGCCCAGCCAGUUACCUUGGGAACCAAACUCAAUCGCCUGACGUCACUGGGCCGUUGCGUAGCAACCGGCAAAGACUCACCCUGCAGCUCUCCCCGCCUCCGCGGUGAGGUAGCCGUCGCCACGGAGACGGCGGGACUGGGCAGGGCGGUGGAUACCCUGCCCGGCUGCCCUGUCCUCCUCGCCCCUCGCCCGCCUGGUCGCGUCCUCCGCUCCUCCCCGCGACGGAAGGGGACCAGCCCCAGCGGAGGAAAUGGCGCCUCCUGGCCUCAGGCUGGCUGGCGAGGGCCCCAUGGUGGCCUAAAGUGCGUCCUGCCGCCAACUGGGAUCUCUCUCCCAGAGAGACCUUUGUUCACCGUCACCCACCUGACUGCCCCCUUUUCGGUUCCCAGCCUGGGUUCCUGCUCUGGAGACAAGGAGCAGGUGGCAGCACGGGGCAUUUGCCCCACUCCCUACCCCCAUCGCCCAGGACAUCUCAGCAGUGUUUGGCCACCUGCCUUGUGGGAGGAGACACUGGGCCCUGCUCACACCACUCUGCUCCCAUCCUUGGUUCCCUCCUCCACCUUCCCCUGGUGCUGUGACAUUCACCUCCAUGCCUGCCUGCCGGUGCUGGGUGCGGUUUGGCCAGGCCACCCCUGGGUGGGGGGGAGUGGGGAGGGUAGAGCCUACCUGACCACUUUCCAGAGUUUCUGUUGUGGGUGUUGUUCCGCGGUUGCCCCAUCUCCAUUUCACACCAUAACAGGUUAUACAAUGCCGAAUCCCCAAGCCCAGAACCUUUCAGAGGCCAGCAGCAAUCUGCCACUAUGGCCUGCCUCCCUCUCUGCCUUGACUUAACCGUCUUUGGCCAGGAAUAAUCCUAACCACCUCCUCUUGCUAGAGCACCUUGAUUAUCUUGUUCAAGUUCAGAGCAGUGGAGGCCUACUGUGGCAGGUGUUUUUCUUCAUCAAAAACUGCAUUUUGACAAGCACUUAAUAUCAAUGCAGGAGAUGCAGGUUUGAUCCCUGGGUUGGGAAGAUCCUCUGGAGAAGGGAAUGGCUACCCACUUCAGUAUUCUUGUCUGGAGAAUCCCAUGGACGGAAGAGCCCGGCAGGUGGCAGUCCAUAGGGUCGCAGAGUUGGACACGACUAAGCAACUAAAACACACCCAAUAAUAUACAGGUGGUCAGAAACAAAACCGGAUGUUUUAGGCGAAUCCUGUUUUCUCAUGGAUAUUUAAAAUUCAGAGAUCCAAAGGAAGAAUUUUCAAUCCAUGGAGUUGCAAGGAGAACACUUCAGAAUGCCUCAGCUCUUUCCAAAGCACAUGGUUCAGAGAGAGUCUGACUGUGGGCAGAGGAUUCACAGACAAACUCUAGUGUCGUGGUGGGCAUCUUCAGGGCCUAGAGCUGCGGACUGGGCUCUGGGUGGCUUUGUGUGAACAUCUGACCUCAUCUGGAGCCUCAGACUGGUUUUGUGGGAAAAGUAACUUUUAUCUGCGGGGGAGCCUUCAGAUGUGGGUUGGAAGGGAGGUCAGGGCUGUGCCACCCACAGUGGGGAACCCUGGGCAGCCAGGAAAGGACAGUUUGCCCGGCUCCCCCUUUUUGUCUCUGGGAGGGAGGGGCGUGGCUCAGGAUGUCCAGAGCUGCCUGCUCAGAGAGGCACCAGGUCUGACCUUUCCACCAUGUGAUCCAGGUUGGACCAACCAGAGUCCUUCCCCUUGAAAUUUAUCAGACUGGAGCAGAAAACAGACUUUUCCUCUUGGUCGUGGAAGUGCAAGGCUGUGGACAUGGAGCCUCCAGGAGCCUUGUCUCCGACAUAAGCAGAAGCCUGGAGGAGAAGAGUUGCCACGGGAGAUAGAAGACACAGCCAUGGAGAUGAGGAGACCAACGCAGGGGGAUGAAAGUAAUGUAGCGAGAAGGGGAAGGAGCCAAGACUCAAGGCAGCCUGACCCCCAAAGUGAAAGUGAAGGUGAAGUCGCUCAGUCGCGUCCGACUCUAUGCGACCCAGUGGACUGUAGCCAACCACACUCCUCUGUCCAUGGGAUUUUCCAGGGGAUCUUCCUGACUCAGGGAUUGAACCCGAAUUUUCAGCACUGGCAGGUGGAUUCUUUACCACUGAGCCUCCUGGGGAGCAGAGUGGCACUUGCGUCUGUGUGGGAUAAGUCACUUCAGGCGUGUCUGACUCUCUGAGACUCUAUGGGCUGCAGCCUGCUAGACUUCUCUGUCCAUGGAAUUCUCAAGGUCUGCCUCAAAGGACCCCUGAUCCUGGGAUCUGAACUGACAACCUCCCUCCUCUGGAUUCCUUGCUUUCACUCCAGAGGGGCAGCUCACGUCUCACCUACAGAAAGUGGCAGCUCCUUGCGGGAAGGGGUAGACACACCUGGUUUUAUGCCCUUGGGGCCUGGCAUCAGACUCACUCACCGGAAGCAUCUGCUGGGGAGGGAUGGGAACUCGGUUCGAUUCCUGGUCUGGGAAGAUUCCGUAUGCCUCAGGGCAACUAAGCCUGAGGACCACAAUCACUGAGCCCGUGCUCUAGAGGCCUCAAGUCACAUCUACUGAACCUGUGCAACACAACUGCUGAAGUCCAUGCACCGUAGAGCCGGUGCUUUGCAACAAUAGAAACCACUGCAAUGAGAAACCUUCCCACCACAAUGACAAGUAGCUCCCACUUGCCACAACUAGAGAAAACCCGACUGAAGGAAUGAAGACC